ACAGGCUUCCAGGACGGCUUCUCUCCUUCCAGGACUGACCGGCGACAAGUUUUCCGGCCAACCUUAUCAAUCAUGGUGUUUUCCGUCCAGAGCUUCAAUCCGGCCGGAAAACUUGUCGCCGGCCAGUCCUGGAAGGAGAAAAACCGUCCUGGAAGCCUGUGCUGUCGUCUGGGAAUGAGAGAAACCGUCGCCGGCGUGAGACGGCGGAGAACGGACGAAGUCCGCACUUUAAGCCGAGUGCGGACGGUCCGCUUCUCAUCCUCUCUGUAUAUAUAUAUAUAUAUCAAUCUUAAGUCGGGAUGAAAACAUGAGAUAUCGUUCUGAUAUUUUCUAAACUUGAUAUACCAAAGUUUAUAAGGAACAAAAGUUCCUAUACCAUUCUGACGAAUUUCUCAUAUCACAAAGAUUAUAACAAUAGUUAACAUAAUAUCAU
rnacentral:lncRNA from 1 species